GACUCAGUAGCUCAGUUGGAUCAGAGUACUUGACUACGAAUCAAGGGGUCGGGGGUUCGAGUCCCUCCUGGGUCACCA
rnacentral:tRNA from 1 species